rnacentral:rRNA from 1 species
UGUCAUUUAGAGGNAGUNAAGUCGUACAGGUUUCCGUAGGUGAACCUGCGGAAGGAUCAUUAUUGAAAUAAACCUGAUGGGUUGUUGCUGGCUCUCUAGGGAGCAUGUGCACGCCUUGUCAUCUUUAUAUCUCCACCUGUGCACCUUUUGUAGACCUUUCAGGUCUAUGUUGCUUCAUUUUUCCCCAAUGUAUGUUAAUAGAAUGUUGUGCCUGUAUAAUAUAUACAACUUUCAGCAACGGAUCUCUUGGCUCUCGCAUCGAUGAAGAACGCAGCGAAAUGCGAUAAGUAAUGUGAAUUGCAGAAUUCAGUGAAUCAUCGAAUCUUUGAACGCACCUUGCGCUCCUUGGUAUUCCGAGGAGCAUGCCUGUUUGAGUGUCAUUAAUAUAUAUAUCAAGCCUUCUCUUGUAGAAGGGUUUGGAUGUGGGGGUUUGCUGGCCUCUUAAAAAGGGUUCAGCUCUCCUGAAAUGCAUUAGCAGAACAACCUUGUGUUCAUUGGUGUGAUAACUAUCUACGCUAUUGAAUGUUGAGGGGGCAGUUCAGCUUUCCAACAGUCCCUUGGGACAACUCAUCAUUAAUGUGACCUCAAAUCAGGUAGGACUACCCGCUGAACUUAAGCAUAUCAAUAAGCGGAGGAAAAGAAACUAACAAGGAUUCCCCUAGUAACUGCGAGUGAAGCGGGAAAAGCUCAAAUUUAAAAUCUGGCGGUUUUUUUGGCCGUCCGAGUUGUAAUCUAGAGAAGUGUUAUCCGCGCUGGACCGUGUACAAGUCUCCUGGAAUGGAGCAUCAUAGAGGGUGAGAAUCCCGUCUUUGACAUGGACUGCCAGGGCUUUGUGAUGCGCUCUCAAAGAGUCGAGUUGUUUGGGAAUGCAGCUCAAAAUGGGUGGUAAAUCCAUCUAAAGCUAAAUAUUGGCGAGAGACCGAUAGCGAACNAGUACCGUGAGGNAAAGAUGAAAGAACUU